AUACGAGUUUGAUCCUGGCUCAGGAUGAACGCUAGCGGCAGGCUUAACACAUGCAAGUCGAGGGGCAGCGCGAUGUAGCAAUACAUUGGCGGCGACCGGCGCACGGGUGCGUAACACGUAUGGAACUUACCCUUUACUGGGAGAUAGCCCGGAGAAAUCCGGAUUAAUAUCCCAUAAUAAACGAAGUGGCAUCACUUUGUUUUGAAAGCUCCGGCGGUAAAGGAUGGCCAUGCGCACGAUUAGCUAGUAGGUGAGGUAACGGCUCACCUAGGCUACGAUCGUUAGGGGGCCUGAGAGGGUUAUCCCCCACACUGGUACUGAGACACGGACCAGACUCCUACGGGAGGCAGCAGUGAGGAAUAUUGCGCAAUGGAGGCAACUCUGACGCAGCCAUGCCGCGUGCAGGAAGAAGGCGCUACGCGUUGUAAACUGCUUUUAACCGGGAAGAAACCCUCCGACGUGUCGGAGGUUGACGGUACCGGAGGAAUAAGCACCGGCUAACUUCGUG
rnacentral:rRNA from 1 species